AGAAAACCCAACUAGCAUGGAAAACAGACCAUGAUGUGUACGGUACCCUAAAGGCAUGAAUUAUUCAUGUCAUUCAUUUUACCUGCUACCUCCUAGAACCCCUGAGUGAACAUUUCCUUUUCAAGCCGUAUGUAAAAUGCAUUGAGAAAGACCCAGUUGUGUGGAUGGAGGUCCCAGAUUUGCAUCUGUGUCAGAAAUAUUCUUCCCCCCUCUCUCUAUCUCCCCCAAUGAAGGGAACUGAGUCAUUAUUUCUCAGUUUAAUAGAAAACAGCAGGGUAAUUUUUAUAUAAGAAAAACCAAACAUCAUGUGAAUCAUGCACAAAAUCUUUUUAUUUUUCCAGGAAGGGUAGAACCCUGAAAAGAAUUGUUAACAAAUAGUGGCACACUACUUUUGGUGCUCUUCUGCCAGCCAGAAAAAAAAAAAAAAAAAAAAAAAGCAGCAACAACAAAUACAAGAAUCACAAAGAACCUCCGUGGUUUAUCAACUAUACCACUGAGCCUCUUGGCCAUCACCGUAAAUCUCUUCAAAUUCUUGCUCCUGUUUUGAUGGAAAACAUUCAGUUCUAUAAUAACAGUACUUAGAUAACCUGUACUUGACCUGUCUUUGGAUAGUGAUGAUUUUCCAUACAAGAUGUUUUACUGUGAUAACACAGUGAUUCAGACACUCUAUCUUAAGGCAGCUGAUGUACAAGUGCUUGGCUCUGGAAAUUUUUUUUCUCCUCUGCUAUUUGAAUGUAAGCUGCGUGCUGAAGGCCUUUCAUGCCAGGCACAUUUUCAAAGUAUUCUCCCAGUUAAUGCAUUUCCAUUAGAAUUCCACUGUUUUUUAUUUCAAGAACACAGCACUGCACCCAUGGGAACUGAGCUUUUCAGGUGUUAAAGAGGAUUUGUUAUAAAGAAAGUGAUUAUAAUAGGAUUUAAUGUAAUUGAAAGUCAAGGUACAGUAGCCAUACACUGUAUCAGAGACAGCAUUAAACUUGUUUUGUGAGUGAAGGAGUUUUGCUAAGUAAAACCUGGGGCCACAAUGAAUAAACCAGGGUGGAAGACCUCCUGCUGCUGUGCUCCGUUCAUUAGCCAGUGCUGUCCUGACUGCUUUGCUCCCCAGAGAGGCAGGGCGAGCAGCAGAGCUGAACAACCAGAGCCUUGUAACAGCAUGAAAAAAGCCUUCGGAAAUAGCAGAGGCAGCUCCCACGGAUUCAGCCCAUCCACGCAAGUCCCCAUCCUGUGGGUUGUCACCAGCUCUGGAAGAAGUGUUUCCAGCCACAAUCCCAGCUCGAAAGCUGCAUGAGUGUAAAGAGAGGACGUUCUGCUGCGAGCAGGCAUCAACCAAGCAAGCUGCCGACUCGCGGAUGAGAGCCGGUGCAUUCUGCUACCGCGAUUCCAAACCCUCCUGCCCGCCCUGCCCCUGGGCCAGAUGUCGCCUGCCUUCCCCUGGAGCUCCGGCAGCACAACCCAAACCUGUGCCUGUGCCUCAGCCACUGCGGCCCCAGCUUAAAGAAAGGGCGGCUCUGCACCAGCACACCGCAUCGCUGUUCGGGCAUGGGAUGCUCGAAGCAGGGAGGGAGGGAGGGUGCGCACUCCUGGAGCCAGUCACGUUUUAAAUUGCCGUGAGUCGCUGCUUUGGUGCCUGCCACUCGGAUCAGUCAAGCAGGGCAUUCAUAUUCAUGGGGCUGACACUCUACCUGUGCCCCUCUGCCUUGUUAAUAAAUGAAUGGAGGGUUCCGAACAGGAAUUUGCAGACCAAGUAGCUGCCUAGAGCCAGCAAAUCAGAAAAAGUAGUCCCGGGGAGCAGGUAGAAUAUAUACUACCAACCUUGAGCAUUCAGAAUCGUGAAACUGGCCCACAGAAUCAUGAGAGCUACUUAAAAAUCAUGUGAUUUUAAUAAACAAUUCUCAUGGGAAUGCUUUUAUUUGCUUUUGGAUUUUACAGAUUCCCAGGAUCAUGUUUAUAAACUUUUAGCUAGAAUUUAAGGCCCUGAAGGCUCUUGUUAAAAAGGGAAAGAGAAAGAUCUGCAUCCCCCCAAACCACACACACCCCACCCACCCCCCAAUCCCAGGAACAUGAGCCACAUGACAACAAAAGAUGUGAUCAGAAAUCCUACCACUUGUCAGAUUUUUAAAGCCACCGGAGCAAACCAUCAUUUGACCUCUUUCUCGCCCUCUCCCCCUCUCCCCAUACUCCUCUUUAAAAGCGUGGAAGUUUUUGCGUUUGCACCUUCUGCUGUUUCGUUUGUUCCCCCCAGUGUUUCUCUAAAUCUGAAAUAAGUCAUCUCUUCUGCCCUUUGUUUAUGGCAGAGCGUGCUCGAGAAGCGAAAGGAUCAAUGCUCCACUCAUCAAACGGAGGAGUGUUGGGCAUUCAUAACGUGAAUGGAUGACAAUAAAUGCCUCUGGCCGCCGCUCUCGCCCUGCUGCUCCGGCUGCACCAGGCCUGAAUCCGAGCGGUGCGCGGGGAAAGGGGCCUCUUUGGAGCUCUCCGUGCAACGCUCCGAGCAUUCAGGCAUGUGCAGACAUGCCAGUCCUGGCCGGCGCUUUUUGUUUUUGUUUGUUGUUUGUUUUAACAGCUGCUAAUAAUUAUAUUAUCCUGCUACAGAAGUACUUCUGGGAAACGGGGAUCUUUGAAAGCGCCGAAGUGAUAGGAGGAAGAUGCCGCUUCCCUCCCCCCACUCCCCUUCACCAUGUUAGUGUUCAGAUACAAACAGCAUUCCUGCCUCAUUCCCCUCUGAAGUUAAAAAGACUUAAAUUCUUUACAAGGAAGGUCAUCCUUUCGUAGCCAAAACCCUGUUUGCUUUUGCCUUUCCACUUGCUUUCAAACGAAACAAAAAACAGCCCUGGGAGUGGGCAGCAGCCCACUUCCCCAACUCAGAAAUUAAGCAUAACAAGCUGGGGGGGCGGGGGGGCAGACUGUGUUUCAGUUUAUUGAUGUGUGUGUGUGUGUGUGUGUGCUCAGCACAGGGCACUUCCCAGCAGCUCUUCCACAAAUGCCGUGCAGAGUGUUCCCAACGUGACCCGAUGGUGAGUUAGAAAGCUCUGGGCACUCGGGCAGCAGUCACACGGUGUUCGGGACCUCGGUGUGCUCGCUCAAAGGAACACUGUCAACUGCCUUUAAUAGCGUUAAAUAUAAUUUAUUGAUUCUCCAUUGUUUGUAAUAAUAACCUCCCUGAAGCUUGAGAAUAAUGUUUUCUUUUCCCCUGCAGAUUUUGUCCUGUCAAACAUUUAUUUUUUUUUCUUGGUGUUGCUAAUAGACCUUGAAAUUAACAUCGCAUUUAUGUUUAGGAUCUAUACCACGAUUGUUUGUGCUGGUGCGCUGCGCUCAUCCAUCAGCAGAGCAAAAUAGGAGAAGGAAGAUGCAUCUGAGCCCAUUACCACCCUGGGAAAAAAAUGGGUCAAAUUCUGCCCUCAGACGCAGGCACAGAACUGUCAUUAAGGUCGGGGGAGGCUGGCCUGCAUAUGUGUCGCUGAGGCAGAAUUUGGCUCGGUGCUUACUAGCCAACUGGUUAAGCUAGAGGAGGCACAAAAUGUUGGGGGGUGUUUCAAUAUGUCCCAUUUAAUAUGUCCCAACUGGCUGUUAGGGAUUUUGUUGUCAUUCUGUGACAUCAGGUAUGUUUAACAUGAAGAAAAGUACCUCUAAUUACCUAUGAAAUUAAAAUAAGCCUUAAAGUGAAUUAAAUUGGGAUCUAAACCCUUUGAACAGUCACCUAGGAAAAAUUGCCAAGCUCCAAGUAAAAUUGGAAGUCUGGGUUUGUCAGACUUGCUUGUGUUUAAUAAAAUGGCAGUUAUUCCACUUUAUAUUAGCAAUUAGUAUUAAAAGAAUUUAUAUUUUAUUUUAAACUUUUUUUCCCACUUUAACAAAACUUCAAUAAAAGUUUUGCUGCUAUUAAAAGUGCAUUGUGUGAGAACCUCUGUAAAACACAGCUUCAGGGUCCCAUUAACAAGCAGGAAUCAGGAAAUAUUUAAAGGGCCCCUUGUUAUACCUGCUACUAUCUCUUUCUUUCCCAUGGAAAAUGAGAAAUGAGCUGGAAUGUAAACAGGGGGGAGGAGGAGAAUAAGAAAUGCACCAGAAUGCAUUUGGGAUAGCCAAACCCUAUGGCUUUGCACAAGGCCUCUGACUUCUAGGGAGGGGGUUUCCACCGCUUGUAGAGAGCUGAUGAUGCAUGGAAGGCUGACGCUGCAAAACAGCCAGCACAGGGGGAAGGGAGCAGGGGGAAGGAGUAGUACAUAUAGCUUUUCACCUUUUGGUCUCUCUUCAAUUCACUCUCUGUGCAUGUUUUGAAAUUACUCAACCUGAAGAAAUAAUCCCACUUGCAAAACCUGUGCGUAUCUAGAAAUUGCCAGAAAUUCAUCUUUAUGUAGUGCUCACAUACAGGAAAUAAAAGCUGGGUGAUUUAUGGCAUUUUAUUGCACUUCUUGGCCAUUGCUAAUG